GUACUUGCUUCGGCAGUACAUAUACUAAAACUGAAACGACACAGAGAAGAUUAGCAUGGUCCCUACGCAAGAAUGACACGAAAAAAAAAAAAAAAAAAUAGCUGGCA